rnacentral:sRNA from 1 species
UUUUAGCGUUAAGGAUGGGAACGGCAUCCUUUUAAUUUGCUUGGAUUUUAAGCAAAUUAAAAGAUAUAGUGGACAGCCUGACCUUGU